rnacentral:rRNA from 1 species
GAGUUUGAUCCUGGCUCAGAUUGAACGCUGGCGGCAUGCCUUACACAUGCAAGUCGAACGGCAGCACGGGAGCUUGCUCCUGGUGGGCGAGUGGCGAACGGGUGAGUAAUGCAUCGGAACGUAUCCUGGGAGUGGGGGAUAACGUAGCGAAAGUUACGCUAAUACCGCAUAUUCUGUGAGCAAGGAAAGCGGGGGACCUUCGGGCCUCGCGCUCUUGGAGCGGCCGAUGUCGGAUUAGCUAGUUGGUGAGGUAAAGG